rnacentral:tRNA from 1 species
GCCGCUAUAGCUCAGUUGGUAGAGCAACGCAUUCGUAACGCGUAGGUCACCGGUUCAAGUCCGGUUAGCGGCU